rnacentral:misc_RNA from 1 species
AAGUCGUAACAAGGUUUCCGUAGGUGAACCUGCGGAAGGAUCAUUAUCCAUCUAAAACCAGGUGCGGUCGCGGCCUCCAGGUGAAAGCCUGGGUGGUUUCGCGCCGCAUUCCUGCACCCUUUUUUUACGAGCACCUUUGUUCUCCUUCGGCGGGGCAACCUGCCGCUGGAACUUGAUAAAACCUUUUUUGCAUCUAGCAUUACCUGUUCUGAUACAAAUAAUCGUUACAACUUUCAACAAUGGAUCUCUUGGCUCUG